UACGGAGGGUGCGAGCGUUGUUCGGAAUCACUGGGCGUAAAGCGCGUGUAGGCGGCUUCCUAAGUCUGAUGUGAAAGCCCGGGGCUUACCCCCGGAAGUGCAUUGGAAACUGAGAGGCUUGAGUACCGGAGAGGAAGGUGGAAUUCCUGGUGUAGCGGUGAAAUGCGUAGAUAUCUGGAGGAAUACCGGUGGCGAAGGCGGCAUCCUGGACCGGCAUUGACGCUGAGGAGCGAAAGCCAGGGGAGCAAACGGG
rnacentral:rRNA from 1 species